rnacentral:antisense_RNA from 1 species
UUUUUACAUAUAUAAAAUAUUUGUUGAUCAUAAUUCUUACGAUUGGA